AACGCUAGCUACAGGCUUAACACAUGCAAGUCGAGGGGAAACGACAUCGAAAGCUUGCUUUUGAUGGGCGUCGACCGGCGCACGGGUGAGUAACGCGUAUCCAACCUGCCCACCACUUGGGGAUAACCUUGCGAAAGUAAGACUAAUACCCAAUGAUAUCCCACGAAGGCAUCGGAAUGGGAUUAAAGAUUUAUCGGUGAUGGAUGGGGAUGCGUCUGAUUAGCUUGUUGGCGGGGUAACGGCCCACCAAGGCAACGAUCAGUAGGGGUUCUGAGAGGAAGGUCCCCCACAUUGGAACUGAGACACGGUCCAAACUCCUACGGGAGGCAGCAGUGAGGAAUAUUGGUCAAUGGGCGAGAGCCUGAACCAGCCAAGUAGCGUGCAGGAUGACGGCCCUAUGGGUUGUAAACUGCUUUUAUAAGGGAAUAAAGUGAGAGUCGUGACUCUUUUUGCAUGUACCUUAUGAAUAAGGACCGGCUAAUUCCGUGCCAGCAGCCGCGGUAAUACGGAAGGUCCGGGCGUUAUCCGGAUUUAUUGGGUUUAAAGGGAGCGUAGGCCGGAGAUUAAGCGUGUUGUGAAAUGUAGGCGCUCAACGUCUGCACUGCAGCGCGAACUGGUUUCCUUGAGUACGCACAAAGUGGGCGGAAUUCGUGGUGUAGCGGUGAAAUGCUUAGAUAUCACGAAGAACUCCGAUUG
rnacentral:rRNA from 1 species